GCUGGGCAUGGUGAUGCAUGCUUGUAGUCUCAGCUACUUAGGAGUCUCAGGCAGGAGGAUCACUUGAGUCCAGGAGUUCUGGGUUGUAGAAAUCUAUGCUGAUCAAGUGUCCACACUAAUUUCAGCAUCAACAGGGUGACCUCCAGGGAGCGGAAGACCACCACGUUGCAUGAGGAAGAGUGAACCAGCCCAGGUCUGAAACAGAGCAGGUCAGAUUUCCCGUACUGGUCAGCAGUAGGAUCCCACCUGUGAAUAACCACUAUGCCCUGGCCUGAGCAGCAUAGUGAGACCCUGUCUCUU
ensembl:misc_RNA Metazoa_SRP Metazoan signal recognition particle RNA